GCAUAUCAAUAAGCGGAGGAAAAGAAACUACCAAGGAUUCCCUUAGUAACGGCGAGUGAACCGGGAAGAGCUCAAAUUUGAAAUCUGGCUGUCUUCGAUAGUCCGAGUUGUAAUCUAUAGAAGCGUUUUCCGUGCUGAACUGUGUCUAAGUCCCUUGGAACAGGGUAUCAAAGAGGGUGACAAUCCCGUACUUGACACAAUCAUCAGUGCUCUGUGAUACGCUCUCUACGAGUCGAGUUGUUUGGGAAUGCAGCUCAAAAUGGGUGGUAAAUUCCAUCUAAAGCUAAAUAUUGGCGAGAGACCGAUAGCGAACAAGUACCGUGAGGGAAAGAUGAAAAGCACUUUGGAAAGAGAGUUAAACAGUACGUGAAAUUGUUGAAAGGGAAACGAUUGAAGUCAGUCGUGUUCAUUGGAUUCAGCCGGUCUUCGGUGUACUUCCUUUGAACGGGUCAACAUCAGUUUUGCCCGGUGGAUAAAGGCAGUAGGAAUGUGGCCUCUCCGGAGGUGUUAUAGCCUAUUGUCACAUACACUGGGGGAGACUGAGGACUGCAGCUCGCCUUUUGGCCGGGGUUCGCCCACGUUCGAGCUUAGGAUGUUGACAUAAUGGCUUUAAACGACCCGUCUUGAAACACGGACC
rnacentral:rRNA from 1 species